GCGAAUGAUGAUUUCUUUUUAACCCUGAGGCUCCUCGAUGAAGACCAUUAAUUUACAAUAACUCUAAUUUUUUCCUGACU
rnacentral:snoRNA from 1 species